GACGAACGCUGGCGGCGUGCUUAACACAUGCAAGUCGAACGGAAAGGCCCUGCUUUUGUGGGGUGCUCGAGUGGCGAACGGGUGAGUAACACGUGAGUAACCUGCCCUUGACUUUGGGAUAACUUCAGGAAAGUGGGGCUAAUACCGGAUAGGAGCUCCUGCUGCAUGGUGGGGGUUGGAAAGUUUCGGCGGUUGGGGAUGGACUCGCGGCUUAUCAGCUUGCUAGUGGGGUAGUGGCUUACCAAGGCUUUGACGGGUCGCCGGCCUGAGAGGGUGACCGGCCACAAUGGGACUGAGAUACGGCGCAGACUCCUACGGGAGGCAGCAGUGGGGAGUAUUACACAAUGGGAGGAAGCGUGAGGCAGCGACGCCGCGUGCGGGAAGACGGCCUUCGGGUUGUAAACCGCUUUCGCCUGAGACGAAGCGUGAGUGACGGUAAUGGAUAAAGAAGCACCGGCUAACUACGUG
rnacentral:rRNA from 1 species